GUCGCAGGUUCUGGUGACUUAGGAAGAAGAGAUGCCUUCCUUCCCCAACCCCCCCAACCCAUGCUGAAGCUGGGCUACCAUCUCCCAAAUUCCCGAGACUCCAGGUCUGAGGAUGUGAGGAAGGUGAGGCAGACGCCGGCAAGCAAACCACAGCCAUGACAUGCGGUACAGAUGGCAGAAUACUUAGAGACAGGAUGUUUCCUGCCACCUAAGGAAAUGACAAAUCCAUGGUUCACAGAAGUGCCAAGACAACUGCCAGGAAUGAAGGCAUUCUCAGAGAGAAUCACAUGACCAAGGCUGAGGCCAACUCCUAAUGUUGCUGCGGCCCAAGUGCGAGGAUUGAAAGCAUGCACAGCCAUCUCUAGGUGACCAAAUUACAACAGAUGUCUAAAACAAGG